CUAAUCAGGCGGCUCUCAAUCAGGUUUUCAACAUACUAAUCUUGAUCUAAGAGCUCCUGUCUCUGCAUAAGUGGAGGAAAUGAUUCGUUUUUAGAGGCUUCCGGGCUUAGAGAAGGAGGACGUCCUCAGACUGCUGCAGAAGAUCUAAACGGCUGGUCUGCGUCUGCCCUGCUCCGUCUGCCCUGCUCCCGGCGCCCGGCGGGACUGAGACCUCACCCGCGGCAGAAUUGCGUGUGUCCAGCGCGCUCCCCGGGCUGUCCCGUGGCGAGCUGGAGUUCGUUGUUCCUCGGAUCAGGCCAAGAAAAAGUUCACCCUCUCUUCUUCCCAAGUUAAGUGUUUUAGCUACAAGUCACAAAACACUUUUCUUAAAAAAAAAAUGAGACCAGUUUUGAACGAAACACAGUAAUAUAUAUGCAUAUAUAUAUAUGCAUAUAUAUUAUCUUGCCUGCCGGUAGAUGGGAAAAUAAAUCGGCCGUGCCUUGAUGGUGCCUUCCUAUUGGACUGAAAUUCGUAGGAGCCACCGCUCAUCAAAUGAAAAUCGGAAGCGGAAGGCCCACUUAGGGGGUCUACCAACAGCCUUGAUCCCCUGGCUCCAUUCACGGAAUGAAUGGAGUCGGAAAGAGAACCAGAGAGAACUCCAAAGACGUCUGGUCCGGGGAUGUGUGGCUCGUACUAAGUGUGUCCUGCUACAACCCAGGGUGUGUGGGAAGCGGUCUGGAUCCCGUCGCGCCAGGCCUUGGUCCAGGGCUGGAGAAAGAGAGAACCCCCAACCUACCCGACCCCUACAGCUUCCACCUGGAGAAGGCCUGCUUAAUUGGGCAGCGAGCAGCUGCUAAAUGUGCGGUCUACUAAUGACCCACCUCCUCAGCGACUCCUAUCCAAGGCAUAAAACUGAUAUUUUCACACCCGGAUCGCACGGCAGGAGCCGUUAUAAACACCCUGCAUCCGUGGGAUGGAAAAAAAAAAAAAAAGGGGCUGCAUUGACAGGCGUCUCUGGAGCUCGGUAUUUAAAAGCUAUAGAUCCGAAUUAGAAAAUUAUUACUUUAAGUAGAGAAAGUACCCACCAAUUUAACUAUUGAACUGCACGUCUGAGCUCUUGGCACUAACUACGGGUCUGGAGGAACUUAUCCUGGAUCUUGCAUGAAAGGCAGGCCAUCCACUGGCUCUCGGCUUCUAAAGCUCUCCCCUGGGAGCUGCGGUCCUCCAGAGGGCUGGCGAGGGCUAGCCUGGGUCAUGUCUACAAAGACACAGCUAGGACCUGGGGAGAAAGUCUAGGCGAAGUAGCCACAGCGGCCUGAGCUUGUUGGUGCUUUGCUUUCUCCAACCCAAGAACCGCGUCAGGGCGCAGUCGGCGCAAGGACUGUCCGAUGAGGCAGGGGAAUGUGUGACCUUGGCUCCUGAGAAGGAACUGACAAUGUCCCUAAAGUGAAUGCUCAGCUAUGAUCACCAUCAAACUGCAUGUGUGACACGUGGCUGUUGACUGUGUCUUUGGAUUGUUGCCCACCUCGUUUAUCGUGCACAGGAGUCUGGAAAGUGUUUGAAGAAGGAAGAAUGUCCAGAGGUACUGCUCAAAGCGUGGGUCUGGGAACCUGUGUCCCCAUUCAGUGGCACAGAGCAUGAAACCUGCUCACCUUUAGGACUCACUGAGUCCAGACUCUUUUAGACUUCGUCACCCAUAGCGCCAGGGAACAGCACAGGCGCGACUAUUCUCGAAAGUGAAGGUCACCAAGAUGACGUCUGCCGGGGUCUGAGAUCUACUGCUAGCUGAGGCUGAGCCUGGGGAGUGGGGAGGGGGACUUUCUUGAUAGACUGCACAAGGGACACUCGGGACACCCUGGUGUGCAGACCAGUGCUCCUCCCCUUGGCCCCGAGCUACACCUCAAGGAAGACAAACUCUGGAGAUACACGGAGGGAGAGCUAGGUUCUGCUUAUCCAGAGCCUGCACAUGUGCUCUAGUUCUUGGUAGAGCAUCAGGAAACCCGGCCCACUUACCGGACAGAGAAAUGGAGCGAGAAAAUAAUUCCGGGCCACGAGGAACCCGAAAUUAGGGGAGGGGCGGCCUGGAAAACUCCUGGGUUAAACGUUAGCACGCAGUUCCAUUAACACAUUGUGACAUUCACAAGCCCACAAUCUCGCUUUAAGCACGCCUGUGGUUUGGAGUCGCGGUGUUCUGUGCCUUUUCUUGUGACCAAUAAAGCAGGAACCACGGAAACUUGA